UACGAAGGGGGCGAGCGUUGUUCGGAAUCACUGGGCGUAAAGGGCUCGUAGGCGGCCAACUAAGUCAGACGUGAAAUCCCUCGGCUUAACCGGGGAACUGCGUCUGAUACUGGAUGGCUUGAGGUUGGGAGAGGGAUGCGGAAUUCCAGGUGUAGCGGUGAAAUGCGUUGAUAUCAGGAGGAACACCCAUGGCGAAGGCAGCAAACUGGUCAUCAACUGACGCUGAGGCGCGAAAGCGUGGGUAGCAAACAGG
rnacentral:rRNA from 1 species